AUUGAACGCUGGCGGCAUGCCUUACACAUGCAAGUCGAACGGUAACAGCACUUCGGUGGCUGACGAGUGGCGGACGGGUGAGUAAUACAUCGGAACGUGCCCGAUCUGGGGGAUAACUACUCGAAAGAGUGGCUAAUACCGCAUACGAUCUACGGAUGAAAGCGGGGGAUCGCAAGACCUCGCGCGGACGGAGCGGCCGAUGGCAGAUUAGGUAGUUGGUGGGAUAAAAGCUUACCAAGCCGACGAUCUGUAGCUGGUCUGAGAGGACGACCAGCCACACUGGGACUGAGACACGGCCCAGACUCCUACGGGAGGCAGCAGUGGGGAAUUUUGGACAAUGGGCGCAAGCCUGAUCCAGCCAUUCCGCGUGCAGGAUGAAGGCCUUCGGGUUGUAAACUGCUUUUGUACGGAACGAAACGGUCUGCCCUAAUACGGCGGGCUAAUGACGGUACCGUAAGAAUAAGCACCGGCUAACUACGUG
rnacentral:rRNA from 1 species